rnacentral:rRNA from 1 species
AGACUCCUACGGGAGGCAGCAGUGGGAAUAUUGCACAAUGGCGAANCCUGAGCAGCCAUGCCGCGUGUGUGAAGAAGGCCUUCGGGUGUAAAGCACUUUCAGUCGUGAGGAAGGUAGUGUAGUUAAUAGCUGCAUUAUUUGACGUUAGCGACAGAAGAAGCACCGGCUAACUCCGUGCCAGCAGCCGCGGUAAUACGGAGGGUGCGAGCGUUAAUCGGAAUUACUGGGCGUAAAGCGCAUGCAGGUGGUUUGUUAAGUCAGAUGUGAAAGCCCGGGGCUCAACCUCGGAAUUGCAUUGAAACUGGCAGACUAGAGUACUGUAGAGGGGGUAGAAUUUCAGGUGUAGCGGUGAAAUGCGUAGAGAUCUGAAGGAAUACCGGUGGCGAAGGCGGCCCCCUGGACAGAUACUGACACUCAGAUGCGAAAGCGUGGGGAGCAAACAGGAUUAGAUACCCUGGUAG